rnacentral:lncRNA from 1 species
AAUGUCUCUGAUGGGAUAUAGGUAUAAGUGUCCCUUAGACCUGAGAUCGCCUCAGUGACUUGCGAGUAACUCACUGUGCUUUGGUACUGGACUAACUGAAUUUCUAAUUCAGGGACGGAAGGCUUCUGGACACAGUCAAGUACUUGCGAAGUCAGAGUGUGAUUGAGAUGGGAUUGACCACUCCAAGAGUUGGAGAAGAAUGAGUCACUGUAUUUCAAUUUAGCAAAACCUUGACC